rnacentral:misc_RNA from 1 species
CACAGACCUCCGUCUCAGCUGGAGCAACACCCGAUAGCACAAACUGGGGCGCCGACAUUGUCUUCUGGGGUGGCAAUGAGCAUUACCAGCUCGGCACCGGCAAGCGCAACAACGCCUCAACGCCUUUGUACAUUCACCCUCUCGACAGCGCAGCAGAGCUCGCUCGAGCAAAGAAGAGCACAGGCGCCAAGGAGGAGCACAG